UUUAGGUGGAUCAAAUUAAGUUACGUUAAAAAAUACAAUAGUUCACAUGCAUCUUACAAUUUCUAGCAUUUGAUGCACACAUCAGAGUUAAUUUAAAAAUAUCUUUAUUGAUAAUCAUCGAUGGGUGCCGAAGUGCAUCGUUGUCUAAAUUCAGUUUUCAUUGAUCUUUUACUGUUGGACACGUUUAUCGAUGUUCUAUGGACUAUUUACCGUGUCCUGGAGACGGUAUUAUGAGUUGAGCGAUGCACAGUUAUCGGAGUUGCCGUCUGCUACCUGAUUGGACUCUAGUACGUUGAUUGGUUGAGACAAUUUGAUGUCUUUAUUCGUAGAUUAAUAAAAUAUUUCUUCAAAAUAGAAAAAUCAGUUUGUAAUUCGGAAUCUACACUAAGAAACCUUCUUAUUUAUGAUAAUGUUGUCCAAUAUAUUGAUUCUUCAAAUAUAACUUCAAGAGCUCCACAUUUUUCAAAAUAGAACUCAAAUUAAUUGUUAAAUUAUUGGUUUAAUAAAGUCUUGCAUUACAA